AUGCUGCGGCGCCGCCUGGGGACGUGGCCAUGGCCGGCGGUAAGGCGGGGGCUGUCGCGGCUGGCGCCGCCUGCGCCCGCGGCGGUGGUGCGCGUGGACAGCAACAACGUGGCCCGCCUCGGCGCGCCCAAGCCCGGGCCGAGGCCGCGGCAGCUGCUUUCCCUGCCGCCGUUCCCCGCCGGGGCCGACCCGCUCCCCGGGAGGAAGGUGGCGCCGCGCCACGUGACGGCGGUCAGCUGGGUGAAGCACUGCUUCGCCGACGUGCCGCAGGAGGUCGUGCAGGCGCACUUCAACAAGAGGCAGGUUUACACUGAGUGCUCAGAUCAGGAGGUUUCAGCAGAGGGCAUUUGGUGCCGGAAGCAUCAUUUGAAGAAGAUCAAGCAUUCUGAAGUGAUGGAGCCUGGCAUGAGAAUUCAUCUUCCUGUGUCUGUGGCUGAGGCCGAGAUAAAGAAGCGGUAUGAGACCAUUCCAACUGCCACACUGCAUCCCAAUAGGGAUGAGAUUGAGUACCUGAAAAGGCUUGUCAUCUACAAGGACUCAGCCAUACUUGUGCUUAACAAGCCUCCAAAAGUGCCCAUGAAGGGGAAUUUACCAGUACAUAACAGUAUGGAUGUGCUUGCAGCAGCAGCACUGUCAUAUGGGAAUGAAGAGGGUCCGAAAUUGGUCCACCGACUGGACAGAGAUACUAGUGGUUUGCUGUUGAUGGGGAGAACAAGAGAAAGCUUUACCCGGCUGCACUGGCUCUUCACUAGCAUCAAAUUGGCAAGAACAGCUUCGCAGACAUGGAAUACCGCCUGUGAAUCAUACGUGCAGAGGUACUGGGCGUUGGUAAUUGGGACCCCUACAGAGAGUGAAGGAGUUAUAUCUGCUCCUCUCACAAAGGUACUUCUUGAUGAUGGAAAAGCUGAGAGGGUCAUUCUGGCGCAUCCCUCUGGCAUAGAUGGUGCACAGGAGGCUGUUACUGAGUAUCGAGUGAUGGGACCAACCAUCAAUGGCUGUUCCUGGAUUGAGUUGCGCCCAUUGACAGGCCGGAAGCAUCAGCUCAGAGUGCACUGUGCGGAAGCCUUAGGCACUCCCAUUGUUGGAGAUUACAAAUAUGGGUGGUUCGUGCACCAAAGGUGGAAGCAGAAUCCCCAACCGGAUUUUGAGCCGUUUACUGGGGAACCAUACAAGCUGAGGCGGCCUGAAGGCUUGGAGGUUCAGAAGGGCAGUGUUCUCUCUAAAGUCCCUUUGCUGCACCUGCAUUGCCGGGAGAUGGUGGUCCCGAACAUCUCAAAGUUCCUGAGUAACACCGGAGAGUGGCAUGAUAAUGGCACCCCAUGGUCCGAGGAGAAGCCGAAUCUCCUAAGGUUCAUCGCGCCGUUGCCCGCGCACAUGAAAAUUAGCUGGAAUAUAAUGUCUUCCUACCUGGUGUGA
rnacentral:rRNA from 1 species